CUUAGAAAUGUUUCCAACAGAUGAAGCCUACACAGUUAUUACCGGAAUGGGCGAAGAUCUCUUGUCCGAAGAAUCCCAGCUCUGUUCUUCUCCUUCGUCUAAUCGUCUUUUCCAUUUCUUUGACUAGCAUUCUUUCUCUUUAUUUCCACGGAUAAAAAGAUGGAAACCAGAACCCUAAAACUAUCUCCCGGUUACAGUCUCUUCUCUGCAACCAAAAUCGCUCAAAAGAACAUUGUUUUCUUCCAGAUCUGCGUCUUCCUGAUUACUUUUUUAGCUUACGCUUCGUUCCACGCUUCUCGAAAGCCCCCAAGCAUUGUAAAGAGCGUCCUAGGCCCCGAAGUACAAUCUAAUGAAGCUGCAAUUUCCGAAACUGGGCGCAAUUCGAGCUCAACUGAUACCGGUUGGGCUCCGUUUGAUGGAGAACGUGGACCUCAUAGGCUGGGAGAACUCGAUCUGGCUUUCCUGUCUGCGUAUUCUUUAGGGAUGUAUUUUGCUGGGCAUAUUGGUGAUCGAAUUGAUCUUCGGCUCUUUCUGACAUUUGGGAUGGUUGCGAGUGGGGUUUCUACAAUUGUUUUUGGGUUGGGAUAUUGGUGGAAGAUACAUUCUUUAGGGUUUUUCUUGGUGGUUCAGAUUGUGAGCGGGUUGUUUCAGUCGACCGGAUGGCCUUGUGUUGUUGCGGUUGUUGGGAAUUGGUUCGGGAAAGCGAAGAGGGGACUGAUAAUGGGGAUCUGGAAUUCUCAUACUUCGGUUGGCAAUAUCGUUGGUUCGGUUGUUUCUUCGUCUGUGUUAGAUUUUGGUUGGGGCUGGUCGUUUGUGUUGCCGGGCAUUUUCAUUAUUUUGGUUGGCAUUUUGGUUUUCCUGUUCCUUGUCGUGAAUCCUGAAGAUGCAGGGUUUGUUUCUCCUGGGAAAGAGAUAGAGAUGAGUUCUGAAGUUGAAUCCAUGAAGAAUUUGGAAGAGAUCAACGGGGAAGAAGAGGGUCUCCUUCACUCCGAACAUCCAGAUUCAACAGCUGCAAUUGGAUUCUUAGAGGCUUGGAGGUUACCGGGUGUAGCACCAUAUGCUUUUUGCCUUUUCUUCUCAAAACUCGUGGCUUACACCUUCCUGUACUGGUUGCCUUUCUAUAUAAGGCACACAGCUGUUGCUGGGAAGCAUUUAUCAAACAAAACUGCGGGAAUGCUGUCAACGAUAUUCGAUAUAGGAGGAGUAUUUGGUGGCAUUAUGGCGGGAUACAUUUCUGAUAUGACUGAGGCCCGUGCUCUUACAUCAAUUCUAUUCUUGAUUUUCUCAAUUCCUUCUCUUAUUCUUUAUCGUAUUUAUGGAAGCUUCUCUAUGUCCACCAACAUUGUGUUGAUGUGCCUUUCUGGAUUGCUUGUGAAUGGCCCGUAUGCACUUAUUACCACAGCUGUUGCAGCUGAUCUGGGUACACAGAGCUCGAUCAAUGGGAAUUCCCGAGCUUUAGCUACUGUCACAGCUAUCAUAGAUGGUACUGGUUCUGUUGGUGCAGCUUUGGGCCCACUGCUGACAGGAUAUAUUUCGACCAGAGGAUGGAAUAGUGUUUUUGUGAUGCUUAUUCUUGCUAUUCUUUUUGCGGCUCUGUUCUUGAUUCACCUUGCGCACACAGAGAUUAGAAGCAAGAUGAGUGAAGGAAGAUAGCUUUGUUACAAGAAGAGAGUGUUGUUUACUAAGAAAGAUAUGGUUGAAGAAGGAAUGGAGAAUGGAGGAUGGUUUUCUGUAUUAUAGAGCUUCAUCAGUCCAAUCUCGGAAAUUGAAACAUAAAAGUGCUUAUCAUGAACUGAUGACAUUUGGAAUGCUAGAUAAAUGAUAUCCUCUGGCUACAUGAUAUUUGAGAACCAAUACAUGGCAAGGUUACAGUUUCAAAAUUGUACAACAACGCAUUGAUAUUUCGGUGAACGAAAGAUUAAUUCACUCUUCAUAUGUAAAAGCACAGGCAUAUGUACAUUUUACAUCUUCAUGUAUGAUCCAUGAAACAAAUAAGUUUGCCACUUGACAUCAUGGGUUGAUUUCCCUUGUGUUUGGCAUGGGUUGUUAUUGGUUA